CCUACGGGGGGCUGCAGUGAGGAAUAUUGGUCAAUGGACGAGAGUCUGAACCAGCCAAGUAGCGUGAAGGAUGACUGCCCUAUGGGUUGUAAACUUCUUUUAUAUGGGAAUAAAAUGUUCCACGUGUGGGAUUUUGUAUGUACCAUAUGAAUAAGGAUCGGCUAACUCCGUGCCAGCAGCCGCGGUAAUACGGAGGAUCCGAGCGUUAUCCGGAUUUAUUGGGUUUAAAGGGAGCGUAGGGGGAUUGUUAAGUCAGUUGUGAAAGUUUGCGGCUCAACCGUAAAAUUGCAGUUGAAACUGGCAGUCUUGAGUGCAGUAGAGGUGUGCGGAAUGCGUGGUGUAGCGGUGAAAUGCUUAGAUAUCACGAAGAACUCCGAUUGCGAAGGCAGUUCACUGGACUGCAACUGACACUGAGGCUCGAAAGUGUGGGUAUCAAACAGGAUUAGAUACCCGGGUAGUC
rnacentral:rRNA from 1 species